GAUGAACGCUGGCGGCGUGCCUAAUACAUGCAAGUCGAACGAACAGACGAGUAGCGUGCGCGGCUGACGUUGGCGGCGGGCGUGUUAUGAACACGUUGAUAACCUACCUAUAGGACUGGAGUAACUUCGUUAAACCGAUACUAAUUCCGAAUAUUGUAUUAAACCUCUUGUUGCAAUAUUGAAAGACGAUUUUUCAGUCAGUUAUAGAUUAAUCAGCUCCUCGUGAGCUAGUUGGUAAGGUAACGGCUUACCAAGUGAACGAUGCGAAGCCGAACUGAGAGGGCGAUCGGCAACACUGGAAAUGAGACAAGCUCCAGAAUCCUACGGGAGGCACCAGUAGGGCACCUUCCGCAAUGGGCGGAAGCUUGACGGAGCAAAGCCGCGUGAGUGAUGCACGUCUUCGGCUCGUAAACCUUUGUUCUCAGCGAAGAACAAAUGUCUAAGUAACUAUGCAAGUCUUGACGGUACCUACUCAGAAAGCAACGGCUAACUCCGUG
rnacentral:rRNA from 1 species